GUAGCCUCCUUGGUUACAACAUGAACAUGGGAUCUAAUGCUAAGGGUGCUUCUGACGAUCAAAUCUCACAGAUUCCAAGUUGGAGAUAUAAACAAGUUCAUGAUUAUCAUGCCUUGGAUCAUUACAAUCAUGAUGAUUGUUCUCAAACAUUCAUCAAUGAGGAUCAAGAGUGUUGCAUUUGCUUGAACAGGUACAAAAAAACAAAGAAGAAGUUAGGCAACUGCCCUGUAUCCAUCUCUUCCAUAAAAAAUGUGUGGAUCAAUGGCUAAGAAUUAUAUCAUGCUGCCCUCUUUGUAAACAAGGAUUACAAAGGAAGCAAUAAUAGCAGCAGAAACAAAUCAAACAAAAUUCACCAAGAGAAUUUUUAAUAAUUUUAUUCCAUAUAUUAGUUCUUUAUUUAUUUUUGUUGGUCAUAUAUAUGUACACACUUUACACACACGGGUUACUUGAGUGAGAAUUUACAUGUACAGAACACGCCGCCACCAGUAAUUCAUAUUAAAUUGAAUAUUUAAAAAUUGAGAUUGCAAGCAUAAAACUUCUUGUCUUUU